rnacentral:rRNA from 1 species
AGAGUUUGAUCAUGGCUCAGGAUGAACGCUAGCUACAGGCUUAACACAUGCAAGUCGAGGGGCAGCAUGUUGGUUGCUUGCAACCAACGAUGGCGACCGGCGCACGGGUGAGUAACGCGUAUCCAACCUACCCUUGUCCAUCGGAUAACCCGUCGAAAGGCGGCCUAACACGAUAUGCGGUUCACGGCAGGCAUCUAAGGUGAACGAAAUGUGAAGGAGAAGGAUGGGGAUGCGUCUGAUUAGCUUGUUGGCGGGGUAACGGCCACCAAGGCUACGAUCAGUAGGGGGUUCUGAGAGGAAGGUCCCCCACGAUUGGAACUGAGACCACGGUCCAAACGUCCUACGGGAGGCA